UGGUCUCCUGACUGAGUGCUUGGACUGGGACCCCCCACAAAUCUAAAAUAAUCUAAUCUAAUCCAACCAUUCGGUGGGGUCCGGGUUCGAAACCCAUUGGUGGUACGAAUAAUAAAAAUUAGGAAAAAGGUUUUUUUCCCAAUAGCUGCUCCCCCUCGGUAGGCAAUGGUAAACCUCCGCCUGUAUUCGUGCCAUGAAAGCUUCUCAUAAAAACCAUCUGCAGUUCGGGAAGCGCUCAGUUUUUAAUUGUUUCCAUAUUGGUUAGUCUUCCAACCUACAUAGUUAAAAUGGUUUACUAAAUCUUCAGUAAGUCUUAAAAACCUUUAUUGCUAAACUAACAGCUGGCAACACCACGUAACUGGCCGAGCUUUUACAGCCCACCACUUCGUGCCCACCCUCGCGCACGCUCUCGCACUGCUUCGCUCGCAAGAACUCUCGCGCGAAUUCAGCAAACUUGUCAGGAAAAUUUCACUUGCACUCGCAUAUCCUGACAGCAAUGCAUUUCUGUUGAGUUUUUAGUCCUUUAGUGAAUUCGGAGCAGUAAAGUUUUGAAAGGCGGUGGAAAAGCGCAAAAAUUCCAACUGCUGUGCCAUACAAUUCAAAUGACGUAGUCAUUUUAAUAUUUUCUUUUAACACCAAUUCCUUCUCUUAUUUGUGCCGAACUUCGUCGCAUUUCAUCAUGAAUGUCGUCAUCUAGUCAACGCCAAGUGAAAUAAAAGAGAAAGUGUAAAAAAAAACAAAAAACAAAAAAAAAAAUUCGCCUAAGCGUAAAGUACUCAAAAAAAUGAACCAGUAAAAGCAUUAUUAAUAACAGAAAAAUAAAAAAAAGUAAAUCAUAACUUUAAUACAAAUGCUAACGGAACUGUGCAAUCAAUCUCAGGCGCGCCUCCAAAUGCGUUACGCUCGAAAACGGAAGUGAUCCGCACCGAACGCACUCGAACGCUAGCUAGCGGCUUGAAUUUAUGUCGUAGGUGUAUAUGUAAGAGUGUAGUUUUAGCAGCAGCAGCAGCAGCAGCAGUAGCAGCGGCGCCUCCAAUUAGCGCCACAAAGUCAACCACCACAACCGCCACAGUAAAUGAACUAAACACACAAACUCACAGCGUCAGUAAUGAGCGUCUAUGCCCGUGGUUAUAUGUAUGUGUUUUUUGUAGUGCAGUGUAUGUGAUGUGCUAGUGUGUGCGUAAAGGCUCACACACCAACUAACAGCUUGGUCGCCUGCCCUACUCUACACCUGUCCAACGGACCGUCCACCGUACUUGCGUCUGCUUUUAAUUCACAUUCACUGGUGCUUUGGUGCUUUUACGUUCCCGUAUCCGUUUCCGCUUCCGUUAUUGCACAAUCCAAACACGCACUCGUCCUCACAUACAUACACAUACUUAUGUACAUAUACCAGCAUACUUGCAUACAUCAUUAAGCACUCAAAAGAAAUUAUUCGCGUAGCAAGCGUGCGAGGUGCACUCUCUCUCUCACACUCUCUCUGUUUUGACUCGUGACUGAACUGUUAAUGCACUGAAAACACGCAAAAUGUGUCAAAUCAAUCAAUUAAAAUCCGUUUGCUUGUCCCGUGAUUGGCUUGCGGAUGUAGUUGCGUUUCUUAUUUGUUAAUUACUUGAAAAUGCGAAAACAACAACAAAACAGUUAAUUAAUUCGUGAUGUUAGUUGAAUUGCUCGUACAAAAAAAAAAAUAAUAAAUAAAAAAAUUUUAAAUAAAUAAAAACAAUAACAAUUCGUUGUUCGUUCGUUUACACUACUGACAUCUCCUGAAUAUCCUUCUACUAUAUCUACUACUCGUUCUUUUUCUUCUACAUACUCGUAUAAUUAAAUACAUACAUACUAAAAAAUAAAAAUAAAUAAAAUCGUCUGCUUUAUAUCUCCCUCAUAACAACAACAACAUAUACACCAACAUCAUACGCGACCGAUUGAUGAAUUAAGGUAAGUGAAGCGAAAAUUUCGGCAUUAUUUCUAAGGUAUAAAAUUAAUAAAUUAAAUUUUUAUUAGUCAAAUAUGGAUUAAGUAAAAAAUGUUUGGGUGUAUGUAGGCGCCAACAUUAGCAGUAAUUGUUCAAUUCGGGUUUACUGCAUAUUUUUACUAUAAUUUCGGGAGUUUGGGAUUCGUUGAGGAAUAUUUCUUUAUUAAGCUGAAUAAAAUGCCUUUUGUUUUUUUAUAAAGAAAUGAGAAAAUUUACACAAUUUUUUAAUAAAAAUACUCUUCUACCUCCUGCGUUCCUACAUUCCACUCUUUGCGUAAUUCGACCGCGGCAUAGUCACUUCUUCCUCUUCUCUUCUUAAUUGGCGCUAUAACCGCUUACGCGAUUUUGUCCGAGUUUAACAAAGCGCGCCAGUCGUUUCUUUCUUGUGCUAACUGGCGCCAGUUGGACACACCAGGUGAAGUCAAGUCCUUCUCCACCUGAUCUCUCCAACGCAGAGGAGGCCUUUCUCUUCCUCUGCUACCACCAGCUGGUACCGCAUCAAAUACUUUCAUUGUCCAUUCGGAUGACAUGACCCUGCCAGCAUAUCCGCUGGAUCUUUAUUCGCUGCGCUAUGUCUAUGUCGUCGUAAAGCUCAUACAGCUCAUCGUUACGUCGCCUGCGAUAUUCGCCGUUGACAACGUGCAAAGAUCCAAAAAUCUUACGCAGAAUCUUUCUCUCAAACAUCCCAAGCGUCGUUUCAUCGGAUGUUCUCAUCGUCCAAGUUUCUGCGCCACAAGUUAGGACGGGCAUGAUCAGAGCCUUGUAGAGUGUCAGUUUUGUUCGUCGAGAGAGGACUUCACCGCUCAGUUGCCUACUUAGUCCAAAGUAGCACUUGUUGGUAAGAGAGAUUCUACGUUGGAUUUCAAGGCUCACAUUGUUAUCGGUGUUAAUGCUGGUUCCUAAAUAAACGAAGUCUUUUACAGCCUCGAAAUUAUAACUGUCAACAGUGACGUGGGUGCCGAUACACGAGUGCGCCGAGUGUUUGUUUGAAUACAGGAGAUACUUUGUUUCGCCCUCGUUCACCACCAGACCCAUUCGCUUUGCCUCUUUUCCAGUUUGGAUAAGGCAGAACUAACAGCGCGGUUGUUAAGGUCGAUGAUGUCAAUAUCAUCGGCACACGCCAACAAUUGUACGCUCUUAUAAAAUAUUGUGCCUGAGCGAUUAAGUUCUGCGGCUCGUCCGAUGCUCUCCAACAUCAGGUUAAAGAAGUCACACGACAGCGAGUCACCCUGUCUGACGACGGCUGACGGCGCUGCUGGUGUUGAGCAACGUCAUCUUGCAAAGCCGUAUUAGUUUUGUGGGGAUACCAAAUUCAGACACCGCG